UCGAUUUUGGUUCACAGAAAUUGAGAGAAGAUUUGCUCCUUCUGAUGGUUGAGUGAAUAAUCCAGAGAUAUCAAGAAAUGAAAUCGACGAAUUUCAGAAAGAGAAUUUGUUUUGGGCUUGAUUGAUGUUGGUGAGUUUACUGAAUUCGUCGACGGAGAUUUGAAUUACUCACAGGUAGAUACAUAGAAAUUCAUGGGAGAUGUUGGAGGUUGUGAGGAAUUCGGUUGUUGAUUUUCAAGAAGGAGGGUAUUUAAUGAUGGUAGACUUGAUAUGGGUCUGAUGGAAAUGAGGAAUCUGAAGCUGAGAAGUGAAAUUCAAGCUAAGAUGGUGGAUUUGAAGAUGACAUGAACCUGGAUCGAGACAAGAACAAGGAAGCUGAUAUGAGUGGAAUGAAGAGAUGAUGAAGCUGCUGUUAAGAAAUUAGCUAUGGAAAAGAGAAUCUAGGGUUCCUGAAACUGCAAUUAGGGCAUGGUGUUGUUGCUGAUGGUUUGUGGUAAUUGAUGGAGAUAAAUGGUGGAGAUUCAUGGGCAUUCGGAAGUCCAUAAAGUUCAGAAGAAUGGGUUCUGUUCGAAUUGGAUCUGGGAUUUGAAUUUGAGUUGCAGGGAAUGAAUUUAGGUUAUGAAUUGAUAGUGUGAAUUGCAGGGUCUAAUUGGGUUUGCAGAGAUGAUGCUGCUAAGUGAUGCCGGUAAGGAUGCAAUUGCGAUGGUUGAGGCUGAUGUUCUUGUUGGUGCAGCUGCAGCAAUGGGUGUUAUGGAGUUUAUGUUGUAGUUUGGUGGUGAUGUACAAGAUAUGUUGCAGCUGAACUGAAAUGGGUGUUGCAGUGGUGGUUGAAGUGCAAGUGCUGGUGGUAUCGCUUCUGCGGUUCAAGUUGUAAUUCUACACACUCAAAAUCUUCAAAACAAUUUUACUGUAAGGUCUGACAUGAUUGCUGAUUAGUGUUGGAAUUAGAUUCUAAGGUUUUGAGUGAAAACAGUCCAGUUUUUGCUAAUUUGAUUGUUGAUUGUCAUAAGAAUUCUGGGGGUUUGUCGAAUUUGUGUAGAAUUGAGGUUCAUGAGGUUGAGAAUUUGAGGGUUUACCAUCAGACUAUUGAGCUUAUGUUUGCAGAUGAUAUUAUGAAGAGUUUUGUUCAAAAGGGUGUUUUGAAAUCAAUUGACGCACUUGAGAUGUUGUUCAAUUGCAGAGGGUUUGAUAUUUUCUUGUGGGAAAGGUGGGGUUCAUGAAGAUACCACACAAAUUCUCUUGCACAUGACAGAGAAAGGAGUUGUGCCAAGUUUUGAAGUGUAUGCAGGAAGUUUAAAGCUUAUGGACAGGCUGCAUUGUAUGAGGAGGCUCUCGUAGUGUUCAACACGAUGCAUGAAGUUGGGAGCAGGGCAACUGUUGAAAUAUACAAUUCGCUGAAACAUACAUUUGGUAGGGGUGGGUUAUAUAAGGAAUGUCAAACGAUACUAUAUAAGAUGGGUGAGAAAGUGUGGCUAAGAAUACUGACACGUUUAAUGGAUUUGUGGGGCUUUUUGACAAGGAGGUCGGUUUGAGGAUGUGCUGAAGCCUUACGUAGAAAUGGAAAAGGAAAGAUGUAUUCCAAAUGAAUGGAUCCUUGAGGAAGUUUAAAUGUUUAUUGCUCUGCAGCUCUUGUUAAUAAGAGCAAGGGCAAUUCAAUAAAUUAAAUCUUUAAAAACGUGCCAAGCGGCAUGCACUACUGCAUGUUGCAGUCGGUUUAUGCACAAAGGUGACAGGUCUGUAUUCAAUGUUCUCUUAUUCAUUCCUGGUGGUGUACACAUUUGAAGUACCUGCAGAUAACUUUGUAUAUCCUUACGCAUUACAUGAAUGAUCGAGUAUUUU